rnacentral:rRNA from 1 species
GCUUUACACAUGCAAGUCGAACGAGUACUUUUUACGAGUGGCGGACGGGUGAGUAACGCGUGGGAACCUACCUUGAGGUAAAGAAUAACUGCAGGAAACUGUAGCUAAUACUUUAUGUGCCCUACGGGGGAAAGAUUUAUCGCCUUUUGAGGGGCCCGCGUCAGAUUAGCUUGUUGGUAAGGUAAUGGCUUACCAAGGCUAUGAUCUGUAGCUGGUUUGAGAGGAUGAUCAGCCACAUUGGGACUGAGACACGGCCCAGACUCCUACGGGAGGCAGCAGUGGGGAAUCUUGGACAAUGGGGGAAACCCUGAUCCAGCAAUUCCGCGUGAAUGAUGAAGGCCUUAGGGUUGUAAAAUUCUUUUAGUAAGGAAGAUGAUGACGGUACUUACAGAAAAAGCUCCGGCUAACUCCGUGCCAGCAGCCGCGGUAAUACGGAGGGGGCAAGCGUUGUUCGGAAUUACUGGGCGUAAAGAGCGAGCAGGUGGUUCAUUAAGUCAAUUGUGAAAUCUCAAGGCUUAACCUUGAAAUUGCUUUUGAUACUGAUGGGCUAGAGUUUGGGAGAGGAUAGUGGAAUUCUAAGUGUAGAAGUGAAAUUCGUAGAUAUUUAGAGGAACAUCGAUAGCGAAGGCAACUAUCUGGCCCUUUACUGACACUCAGAAGCGAAAGCUUGGGUAGCAAACAGGAUUAGAUACCCUGGUAGUCCAUGCUGUAAACGAUGAGUGCUAGAUGUUAGAAGUUUUACUUUUAGUAUCGAAGCUAACGCGUUAAGCACUCCGCCUGGGGAG